GAAUGGAGCCUAUCACCAGAGGCACAGCCCCAUUUGCAAUUCCAUCAUAAUUUCUCCAACUCCUAACCCUAGCAGAGAUCUCUGAAUUCGUCCAGAGUCCGACCGACUAUCCAUCAUUGCAGCAUAAUCUUCUUCAUCCCAACGCAAGAGCCCCAAAGAAGCCGCUCUCCGGGAAGGACAUCAAUGCACGAUUCCAACUGCGAUCUUCUUCAAACUUCCGAUCCUCGCUCCUCCUUAAGGAAGCGAGAUCAUAAAAAAUUAGCUGAGAAGUGGAUUCAUUCGAUUCAUUUGAUUCUGCUCCUUAUCCAGUGAGUUCAGAGAUCAAGGACGGAAGGAAUUAGAGCAGUUCAUUCAAGCGAGUUUCUGAAGGCGCCGAAGCACAACGACAAUGUCGAACUUGCCGUCUUCGGAUUCCGGCAUGGUUCGAGUCCUCGGAAUCUAACCAGCAGCGGCGCUCGAGACUCACGGAUACCGACCAAGGUCAAUUGGGCCGGUCCAUUGAAAUGUAUUGGGCUACGAGAGCCAGGCCCAUCCCAGCCCAGCCCAGCCCAAAAAGUAAGUACCCAUAAUCCAUUUAAGAGAGUAGUAGUCUAUUUUGUGAUUUACACAUGAGGCAUGUGAUUCCAUCGCCCUUUCUUUCACUGUUUAGAAACCUUUACCUCAAACAACCAAUGCCACGUCAUCGCCGGGACCAAUAUCAGGCCAAAAUUAAACGCAACCAAUUUUUUUAUUAUUAAAAAAUAUUUGAAUCUAGGCUUGAUGAAGAGGAACCUUAGGGUUAGUGUAGUAAUCAUAACACAUUUU